GCCCGAGUGGUGAAAUUGGUAGACACAGGGGACUCAAAAUCCCCCGCUUUUUAGCAUGCCGGUUCAAUUCCGGCCUCGGGUACCA
rnacentral:tRNA from 1 species